GCGGGAGGCGGCAGAGGCAGGGGUAGCGCCACAGGUGGGCGGGUCCCUGCUAGUGGGGCCGCAUCGCAGGUGCGCGAGCCUCGCGGGUGGGCUGGAGGACUCUGGUUGGGGGCUCUAGAGAUGACGGGAGCGCCACAGGUGGGGCAGGGGCAGCGUCCGGAGGAGGGGAGACCGCAGGGGGCCGGGGUCACAUCGUUUGCGGGGCGCGCCAGGGCGGGGCGGGAUAGAACGCCGGGAGCAUCUCCCGGGGGGGCGAGGGAGACCGUGAGUGGGCGCGAGCGCCGGGGCGGGUGGAAACCCCGCAGUUGCGGGGAGCGCCGAUGGCGGGGAGGGGUGGAAUGGGGGCGCGGAGACCCCACCUGGACGCGGAGGCUCGCGGCAGGCCCGGCCGCUCGGGCCGUUGUGGGGGCCGAGCCCGGCCGCGCGCACAGCUUCUAGUGGCCCGCAAGAUUCCUCCUGGGGCGGCGCUGGGAGCCUCGGGGCUCGGCUUCCUCGACCCCCGCCCCCAGGUUUCCUCUGCAGCCUGAGGUCGGGAAGGACGGACGGAGAGUGGAUCCUCCAGGUGGUGGGAAAAGGUAACUGUGUCCUCCCAGAAACCUAUGGAGAGCUGAAGGGGUUUUAGGAUUGUGGAAUCCACCCUCCUCGUUUGGUAAAAGAGGACAAAGGCCACAGAGCAGUGCGCUGGCUGAGGCAUGCGAUUGUAAACCAAAAGCUCAGUUUCCAUUUGGAAUGGCUUCCGGAAGGCUGGAAUUGAAAUCCACCAGUGCCCAUUUCAAGGUGCUCCCAACACAGCCUGGAAAAAAGGAGCCCAGAUACGCUUCCCUGUGGACGCAGGUCAGUCAUCAGGACGCACAGAAACAGCGUUGCCCUUGGCCUGGAGCCAUUGUCCUGAAAGGGGAUCCUUCCCAACUGGGGCCUGAGACUGAUCCCUGAGAAGUGGCCCCUCCAUCCUGGAACCCCUCCUGCUUGUGUCUCCUUACUUCCUGGUGAUCACCGCAUUCAGGCUCAGAAUGCCGCAGGCCUAUCCCACUGGAAGCUGCCAAGGUGCCCAGCGCCCUGUUGCACUCUUGUCCCACAGGACGCCAGGCACAGCAGCAGCAUCAAGGGACCAGCAGGGAAGAGGCUGCAGUGAUUUGGGGAAACAGUGUGAAAAUCACCUGGGGCCUGGCGACACGGGGUCCCGCCUCCUCCCCCAUAUUAGGUCCCAGAGAAAAUGACAAUAUGAACAGCUCAUGUCACCAUUAUUAGGCAGAGUCUUUAUUCUUUCCUUAAUCUUUGCCAUUAAAUUGAGCUCUAUAGGACCAUUUUCUGCUUUUAAUGCCAA
rnacentral:lncRNA from 10 species